UCUAUAGAUUCUACUAUCUAUAUUGUUUAUAACCGCUGAACAGGCCUGCAAGUCCAAAGCUGUCACUUUCAUAGAAGAAUUGUCAAUAAUUGACGAUAAAUCAGCUGUUUUUAAAUGUCUCGUGAAAAGGCCCAUAAAAUGGCUUAUAUUUUUCACCCUUGCGGAACACCUGGGUUGCUUCAGAUUAGCGUGAACCUUCCCACACAUACACAAAUUUAUCGAUUUGUAUACCUUUAUUUAUAGAAACAUUGAUCAUUGCCUUGCCGACGUCUUCCUUCGCAUUCUGGCUCAGUGCUCACUCUACCGCGGCUCGCAAGUUCUUUCCCAUCGGUUCUGUUCUGUUUGGUGUUCGUUCGGCUAGUUCGCUGCGCGAGGAAAGAAGUUUAGAUUGUAAUCCAUAACUAGCAUUAGUAGCUGUGUUUCACCAUUGGAAGCUCCUUUGUCUAAAAUAUUGCGGUGGCGUUGCAAUUCUUCACAUGAGUUUAAUAGAACGUGAAACGUAAUGAAUUUGUUAAAAUAAAAUAGAAAUAUUUACAGCAGCGAAAUGAUUCAUGCUGUAACUGUUGUCUGAUAUUUUGGUUGCGUCUUCAAUCUUAAGAAAUGAAGUAAAACGAGAAAAUUGAUUCCGGAUAACGCAUAGGGAAGGAGAAAAUCUGGGACAAAGUGAAUGAAGAAUUUUCAGCAGAUAGCGCAAUCAGCGUAAACAAAUUUAUUAUUAUAAAACUGGACUCUGAUGUGUUCGCUUUCUUUGACCACUAGUAUUUAACAUCUUUUAGAAAGCAGUUCACAUACUUCAUAGUUUGUUUUAUGUAUUUUGUAAAAUAGUGCA